UACAGAGGGUGCGAGCGUUAAUCGGAAUUACUGGGCGUAAAGCGUGCGUAGACGGCUAUCUAAGUCUGCUGUGAAAGCCCUGGGCUCAACCUGGGAAUUGCAGUGGAUACUGGGCGACUAGAGUGUGGUAGAGGAUAGUGGAAUUUCCGGUGUAGCAGUGAAAUGCGUAGAGAUCGGAAGGAACAUCUGUGGCGAAGGCGACUAUCUGGGCCAGCACUGACACUGAGGCACGAAAGCGUGGGGAGCAAACAGG
rnacentral:rRNA from 1 species